rnacentral:RNase_P_RNA from 1 species
GCAGAGGGUCGGGUGGCCGCUCCCGCACCGGCGGGAGAGGAAAGUCCGGGCUCCACAGGGCACGAUGCCGGAUAACGUCCGGGCGGGGCGACCCGACGGAAAGUGGCACAGAAAAGACACAGCCCCGCAGCGUCCAGCGACGCGGCGGGGCGAAGGUGAAAAGGUGCGGUAAGAGCGCACCGGCGGGCGGGAGACCGUCCGGCCUGUCAAACCCCAUCGGGAGCAAGACUCAGCAGGAGGGGAUGAUGCGGCCCGCGGACCCUCCGGGUGGAGUCGCUGGAGGCCGCGAGCAAUCGCGGCCCUAGAGAGAUGGCCACACAAAGACAGAACCCGGCUUACAGACCCUCUGCACUC